UUAGACAUAUUUUCACUCAUUAUUGAAAUUCUUACACAGUUUCCCAUGAUUUUCUCUAUUCUUCUGUUGUGGCCCACAUCACGACCCACCUGAAAUGAACAGCCAACCUAGAAUCACUAAUGUACUGACUCAAUUAGUUGUUCAUCCAACUGGAUGCUAUAAUCUGGUCAAUAUGCACUUUUCAUCCAUUUUAUUUUUUCCAUUAUGAAUGACUUUGCUGACUUACAUCAUUUGAAUAUGAAUUGGGUACUUCGUGAAAGAAUGAUUCUGUUUCUUAAAAGGGAUAAAUGUUUGUCCCACUCAGAUUUCCUCUGGUUUAUCUCAUGCUAAACAAAAGUAUAAUUCAGUAUGUCAUGAUAAACUGAAGCAUAAAGUAUACAUUUUAAGAGUAAUUUGAUUUCUCCAGCCUCACCAAAAAAAGUUGAGAAGAAUCUUACUUUUAUGGAACUGUUUUUAUUUUUGCUAGACUCAUAAUUUCAUUGUUUUGGAAGCUAAUUCUACCAAAGCUGAUUGGUACCCCUACUGCAACUAUAGUUCACUUUUCUGGGACACUGUUAGGUCAAGUGUAGACAGAACUAUUCAAGAAAAUGCCUAGUGCAUGAAGUUAAAAAUAUAUCAUAGGUUAAUAGACUCAGAUCCAGAAGACAUAAUAGAAGUCAUCCUGUCCAACUCCCUCACGUUACAUCUCAGAAAUUGAAGUUCACAAAGAUGGCUUUCCCAAAGUCACACAGCUAUCAUGUCAGAAUAAAGUCAGCUCACACUUCCUCUGUCAUGGGGAUGAUGAGGAGAGAGAAAUCUCAUUUGGUGUUAAUUGAUUUCUCAAGUUCGUGGCAAGAACUUAUGCCCAAGAAAUUGAGUUCAUUCAUUUGUUGAUUUUGAGCAAAAAGGAUUCCAUGAUAUUCUUAUUCCAGCAAAAUUGUUUUAUUUGCUGUUCCCAAUAUACAACAUUUCAUUUCUUUCCUCUGUGUCUUUGCAACUCCCCAUAUCUGGAGUUCCCUCCCUUUUCACCUAUGCUUCUUGGAGCUAAUAACUCACAGUAAGUUUCAUAUUGAAUAACACCUCUUCGACAAGAUUUUUCCCAGCCUCCUCAGUUGUACCAAACUUGUGAUCAUGUUGAAUUGAUUUAUCUGUAUGCUUCUUGUCUUCCUUCAAUAAAAGGCCAGCUCCUUGAGGUCAGGAAUUAUUUUAUUUUUGCCUUUGUUUCCUCCAGAGUCUAGUACAGCACCCGAUAUGUGGUAGAUGCUUAAUUGAAUUACUUAUUGAAUUUAACUGAAUCUAAACUCUAUUUCUCCUCUAGUUCUAACACAAUGUUCUGAACCAAGUAGGUGCUUAAUACCCAUGCACAGUGUUCUGCACCGAGUAGGUGCUUAAUAAAUGCACUUGUCAAGCACUAUUAAAUUUAAACAAAUCAUCACAUCAAGAGGUACAAUGUAGUAGAGUUUAAAAAAAAUCUUCUAGUUUGGUUGAUCACUAGCUUUGUAAUUUGAGGCAAGUCACUGGACCUUAAAGAGUUUUAUUUUUCUCAAGUCUAAAAUGAGGGGAUUCAUCUAGGUGUCCUGUGUGGUCCUUUACAGCUUCGAGUCUAGGUGCCAUCUAACUUUCAAAUGAAGGCUCUCUUUAAAAAGGAAACUUUGCUUUGGAUCCAAUCCCAUGUCCAUUGUCCCGAUCUGAAUUUUGAUCCGUGUCUAAAUGAAUGAGUUAAUGAGCACUUGCAAAAACAAACAUGCAAAAGCCAAGAACAGGUUUCAGGAUCUAAUUGUUCAUAUUCUUGGAGACGUAACACAGUGUAACAGUCUCUCUCUAUUGUGUUCUCAUGCUUACACAACUUUCCUUUCCACAGUCCAGAUUCUAAUUUCUCUCCACCAUCCUCCCUUGCAAAGUUCACAGAUACAGGAAAUGCAACCGCAGAAACACCAACACCUGCCAAGGGAAACUGUCAAGACAAAUGGCUGCCUCUCAGCCCCAGGAUUUGGCACAGUAAACUAGCUCCAUCACCAAUUCUUCCCCAAGCACACACAGCUCUCCCUUCUUUCCCAUUUUACCUUCUAUCCAAGGCUGAACCUUUAAAGGGCCAGUGGAUGACAAAUCUAGGCCCCUUUUGUUUAUGCCAUUGGAAAUCUUGGGCCUCAGAAGCCUUUUUCUUCAGUUCUCUUUAUAUUGAAAAAAGUAAUUCAGUUUCUUUUCUGCUAACUCAUCAUGUAAAUAAACAUGCGUGAGCAACUAAUCCAUAGCCAACAGCCAAUGCUUUGUGAGGCAUUAACAAGCCGGUGUUGUUCUCCGUGAUGCAGUGUUAUUUUAAAAACAACAGUAACUGAGAAGGGCUGAGAAAUGGGUGGUGUCUUUUAAUCCAUUUUUUAAAUGCUGGCUUUAGAUAAUAAUUAAAUCUCUGUACUUCUGAAGAAGAGCUUAAACUUUGGCACUAAAAGUUGGAUGAUGUUCAACUUAUGUUAUGUCAAGGGGAUUUACAGCUGAGAAGGAUGACUCAUUAUGUGUAAGAGUAGCCACAAGCCUUGAAUGGUACUUCAAAAAAAAAUUCUAAGGGAAAGGUUUUACUAGUGUCAACUAGUAACUGAUAGGAUUCUGCUUAUUCCUCCUAGCAUGGUAUACGUUCCACCCCAAGUAAAGGUUCAUUACAUCCUUGUGAAAUUAUAGCUCUGGUUCAAUAGCAUGCGACAAUCCUCCUCGAAGCAUGAGUCUGAGCUCGUUUCCCAGCUGGCUGCCCCUCUUCUGCUUGUUUUCUAAUAAAAGUUACCCAGGAUACAUACUCUAUGUAGUAUCCAGAACAGAUAGGUACUGUGUGGGGCUGCCCAUCAGAUAGAGUGGUCUCCCACAUAACCCUUAACAUAAGCUCAAUAAAGCUCCACCCCCAUUCCCUGUGAAAUUUCCACCAAUGGACCAGCCAUCCACGAUUCAUCCUCAUCCUCUUCUAGCUUUGGGUAUUUGAUCAUUUCUGUACAUGAGAUUUUGAGUGGAUGGUACCUUUUGGUCUUUUUAUUUUGUGAAAAAAAAAAUAUAUAUAUAUGUAUAUAUCUCUUUCCUAAAUAUUGUGGCAAUGUGGGUUGUGUUGUAUAUGCUGUCACAGACUGAAUGCUCAUGUUCCCGAUAGGUCUGUUCAUGAGCUUGACUUGCAUCCUGCCUUGCAAAAAUAUCUGUCUACUUGAAUCAGCUGCAGUAUUUUGCAUUGACACCCAAGCUGAAAAUGGCUUUUAAGACGUUUUAUUCUCAUGGAAUGGACUAUCUUUGAACCAUGAUGUUUAAAUGUUUCUGAAUUUUCCAAACACCAUUUUUAUAAAACCAUUGAAAAAAAAUCAUGCUGGUCAUUUUUCUUGAAUUAAAUGAAUGUAUAAAUUAAUUAAUAAGCUGACAAGUAAAUUAUUGGGGGAGGGAUGUGCUUUGUGGCCAUGCGAUUCAUUCAUGUUUUAAGGGAGUUGUUCUAUUUGUUUCAAUGAUGUAAUUCAAAUUAUAAGUAUUUACACUCCUAUCAAUACAGCAACAUAUUUAUGUCUUGUUCAAUAUUGAAAUGUGUCCUCUAAUAAAAUAUUUU
ensembl:lncRNA